GCCCUAGUUGCCAACAUCAGAAAGUGUAGCAGUUGUCCGCCGUCUACAGCUUCAGAACUCCCAUGGAAAGGGCUGAGACCUAGACUUCACAUGCAGAAGGCCCUAGCAUUAUCAAAUUCCUAGCAUUAUCAAAAACAAACAGUGGACAGCCAUCUCCAAACACCCCUAUCAUGCUGCUGUGGCCCACCCAGAAGGCCUCACCAAGCCUAGUCAUUCCCUUGCUGUCCUCCAUGGCCAGGCAGUAUGCACAUUUGCCCUACAGCUCUCACAAGGCAGCUAGAGUGAGAAGUCACCCUAUUGACAAGACCCUGCAGCCAGAAUUAGGCUAAGAGCUCAGAGGGCUGGACCUCACCGUAAGCGCUGCUAACUUCGGGCUGCUUAGUUCCUUAGUAUGGAUGAACCCUUGCUGUGGGAGCUGCAGCCUGGGUACCUCUGCCCUCCUCCAGAGCUGCUCAUGUCCUGCUCGCAGGCCAUCAAACCCAUCACCCUCUUGCAAUUGGUGAUCUAAUCCAGGCCUCUCUCCACCUGUGGACAGGAAGACUCUGGCAGGCCGGGGAACUUGGGAAGCCAGAGACGCUGAGGCGGGAGGAAGGACUGACUGGAGGCACUCAUCCGCCACUGUCCACUGUGCCCACCUGACCCCAGCAAGCAGCAAGCAGUUUCCCCACAGGCUAAGAACCACACCUGGUUCACAUAUAUGAUGAGGCUAGACCACAGCACUAUGGGCAGACCUGGAAUGGAGGACAGUGAAAGAGUGGGCAUCCCCACCCCCCAGUACCAAGAAAAGGAAGAGAAUUUUCAUGGUAAAUCCCUGGAGGGAGCCAGCCAAGCAGGAACUUGCCUGAGGCAAAGUAAUAAAUUGAUCCAGAAUAAUCUGCAAGGUGGGUACCUUUAUAGCCUGUUUGGUGGUUCACACCAUUCCAUGAGCUUGAGGUCAGCUUGGGGCUACAGAAGAUCUCUCUACAUGAACAGAACAGACUCGUGAGAUUCAUAGGCAGAUUUACAAGGCGCAGCAGUUGGCUCUAGCUACGGCAGAGAUCAUCUCCAAUGUCAUCUCCAGUGGAAAAAAGACUAAUAAAAACUACCUGAGCCUAGGACAAGGAGCUCUCAUACCAAUCCUGCUGAUUUACACCAAGCCCACAGCCAAUUGUUCUAGAAGUUUCACCUCAAUAAGGAGGUGGAAGGGGUUCUCUUUCUUGCUAGAUAUUCCUCCAGUUGUAAUCCUGUCCACCGUGCCUUGGGUCUUCCCUGUGACAUUAACUGACCAUGUGACAAUGAGGAGGACCUGACCUUUUCUCAGCAUGUCUUUUUUUUUUAGGAUUGUUAACCUGCAUGUAUAUUAAGUUCACCUAGUUUAUACAAUGCCCAGAGGGCAGAAGAGGGUGUUGGAGCCCUGAGAGCUGGUGUUACUGAUGGGUUAGACACAAGUGGGUGUUGGAAGUUGAACCUGGACCUUCAGGUAGAGCUCUUGACCUCUGACCCAUCUUUUUUUUUUUUUUUUUGGUUUUUUGAGACAGGGUUUC